rnacentral:tRNA from 1 species
AAUAAAAUGGCCGAAUUAUAAGCAUUAAAUUGUAAGUUUAAUUAUGAAAUUAAAAUUUCUUUUAUUA